UCUGGCCUCAAAGCAGGU
rnacentral:rRNA from 1 species